GACGAACGCUGGCGGCGUGCUUAACACAUGCAAGUCGAACGGUGACCCAGGGCUUGCCCUGGUGAUCAGUGGCGAACGGUGAGUAACACGUGGGCAACCUGCCCCUGACUUCGGGAUAACUCCUCGAAAGAGGAGCUAAUACCAGAUACGACCACUUCGGACAUCCGAUGGUGGUGGAAAGUUUUUCGGUCAGGAUGGGCCCGCGGCCUAUCAGCUGGUUGGUGGGGUAAUGGCCUACCAAGGCGACGACGGGUAGCCGGCCUGAGAGGGCGACCGGCCACACUGGGACUGAGACACGGCCCAGACUCCUACGGGAGGCAGCAGUGGGGAAUAUUGCGCAAUGGGCGAAAGCCUGACGCAGCGACGCCGCGUGAGGGAUGAAGGCCUUCGGUUGU
rnacentral:rRNA from 1 species